UGAACGCUAGCGGCAGGCUUAACACAUGCUUGUCGAGGGGCAGCAUGACGGAACUUUCGGGUUCUGUUGAUGGCGACCGGCGCAAGGGUGCGUAACGCGUGAUCAACUUGCCCGUUUCAGGGGGAUAACCGGUGGAAACGCCGACUAAUACCCCAUAGUAUCAACUUGAGGCAUCUUUAGUUGAUUAAAGAAUUUCGGAAACGGAUAGGCUCGCGUGACAUUAGCUAGAUGGUAGGGUAACGGCCUACCAUGGCGACGAUGUCUAGGGGUUCUGAGAGGAAGGUCCCCCACACUGGAACUGAGACACGGUCCAGACUCCUACGGGAGGCAGCAGUGAGGAAUAAUGGUCAAUGGUCGGGAGACUGAACCAGCCAUGCCGCGUGAAGGAGACGGCCCUAUGGGUCUUAAACUUCUUUUGUAAGGGAGCAAUAAGGUUCACGUGUGGACCGAUGAGAGUACCUUACGAAUAAGCAUCGGCUAACUCCGUGCCAGCAGCCGCGGUAAUACGGAAGAUGCGAGCGUUAUCCGGAUUUAUUGGGUUUAAAGGGUGCGUAGGCGGUCUGUUAAGUCAGCGGUGAAAUUUAGGGGCUCAACCUCUACCGUGCCGUUGAUACUGGUAGGCUGGAAUGCGGAUGCCUUGGGAGGAAUGUGUGGUGUAGCGGUGAAAUGCAUAGAUAUCACACAGAACCCCGGAUUGCGAAGGCAUCUCACGAAUCCGCUAUUGACGCUGAUGCACGAAAGCGUGGGGAUCAAACAGGAUUAGAUACCCUGGUAGUCCACGCAGCAAACGAUGAAUGCUAGAUGUUCGAUAGGAUUGACUAUUGAGUGUCACAGCGAAAGCGUUAAGCAUUCCACCUGGGGAGUACGCCGGCAACGGUGAAACUCAAAGGAAUUGACGGGGGCCCGCACAAGCGGAGGAACAUGUGGUUUAAUUCGAUGAUACGCGAGGAACCUUACCCCGGCUCAAACGACAGGGGAAUAUGCGUGAAAGCGCAUAGCUAGCAAUAGUCGCUGUCGAGGUGCUGCAUGGUUGUCGUCAGCUCGUGCCGUGAGGUGUCGGCUUAAGUGCCAUAACGAGCGCAACCCCUGCCUUCAGUUGCUAACAGGAAAGCUGAGGACUCUGGAGGGACUGCCGGCGCAAGCCGUGAGGAAGGAUGGGAUGACGUCAAAUCAGCACGGCCCUUACGUCCGGGGCGACACACGUGUUACAAUGGUCGGCACAGCGGGAAGCCAUAUGGUGACAUAGAGCGGAACCCGAAAGCCGGUCUCAGUUCGGAUCGGAGUCUGCAACUCGACUCCGUGAAGCUGGAUUCGCUAGUAAUCGCGCAUCAGCCAUGGCGCGGUGAAUACG
rnacentral:rRNA from 1 species